rnacentral:rRNA from 1 species
CCUACGGGGGGCUGCAGUGGGGAAUAUUGCACAAUGGGGGAAACUCUGAUGCAGCGACGCCGCGUGAAGGAAGAAGUAUUUCGGUAUGUAAACUUCUAUCAGCAGGGAAGAAAAUGACGGUACCUGACUAAGAAGCCCCGGCUAACUACGUGCCAGCAGCCGCGGUAAUACGUAGGGGGCAAGCGUUAUCCGGAUGGACGGGGUGGAAAGGGGGCGUAGGUGGUUCAGCAAGUCAGAAGUGAAAGUCCGGGGCUCAACUCCGGGACUGCUUUUGAAACUGUUGAACUAGAUUGCAGGAGAGGGAAGUGGAAUUCCUAGUGUAGCGGUGAAAUGCGUAGAUAUUAGGAGGAACACCAGUGGCGAAGGCGGCUUGCUGGACUGUAAAUGACGCUGAGGCUCGAAAGCGUGGGGAGCAAACAGGAUUAGAUACCCGUGUAGUC